rnacentral:rRNA from 1 species
UACGAAGGGGGCGAGCGUUGUUCGGAAUCACUGGGCGUAAAGGGCGCGUAGGCGGCCCUCUUAGUCGCGUGUGAAAGCCCCGGGCUUAACCUGGGAACGGCGCGCGAAACGGGAGGGCUGGAGUUCGGGAGAGGAGAGUGGAAUUCCCAGUGUAGAGGUGAAAUUCGUAGAUAUUGGGAAGAACACCGGUGGCGAAGGCGGCUCACUGGCCCGGUACUGACGCUGAGGUGCGAAAGCGUGGGGAGCAAACAGG